rnacentral:rRNA from 1 species
AAUCAACGCUGGCGGCGUGCCUAACACAUGCAAGUCGAACGCGAGAGGGGCUUCGGCCCCGAUUGAGUGGCGAACGGGUGAGUAACGCGUGGGUGACCUACCUUCGAGUGGGGGAUAACGUCCCGAAAGGGACGCUAAUACCGCAUAACAUCCUGCUUUUGAAUGGGUGGAGAUCAAAGCCGGGGAUCGCAAGACCUGGCGCUUGAUGAGGGGCCCGCGUCUGAUUAGCUAGUUGGGAGGUAACGGCCCACCAAGGCAACGAUCAGUAUCCGGCCUGAGAGGGCGGACGGACACACUGGGACUGGGACACGGCCCAGACUCCUACGGGAGGCAGCAGGUGGGGAAUUGUUCGCAAUGGGCGACAAGCCUGACGACGCAACGCCGCGUGGA